AAUUCACAAAAGCUUGAAUGGAAACUGAAAUCUGAUGGUGGAAGCCAAACGUUGAAACCUUCAUCAGAUGGAAACAAAGAAAUGACUGAACAUAUAUGCCAGUAUGUCGUAGGCAUCUAUCUAGCUUGCUGAGCAUUUGUUAGAGGUGCAAUACACAUAUACUUUCAAUCCAUACAAGACGAAGAAACGCCGAUUGGAAAAGCUGAUUCCAUUAAAGCAAAGAAUGGUG